GGAGGUUGAGUUUAGUGCGUCUGGGAGUCUAUAAUAUCGAAUAAACUUACAGUGCUUUCUAGUAUCUCGACUUUCUUUUCUCGAAGACUUACAGUCUGUGGAAUCAACACUGGAUAUCUCCAUAACAUUUUUGUUUUAGCCCAUUCCGCAAUUGUCUUGAUAGUAAGGUUACCAAGGCAAGCUUAUAAAUGCAGAUGCACUUGGUGCUUCGAUCAUGGCUUAAACCCUGGUACGAAACGCUGUGGGGCGAAAUCAAGAAAUUUUGUAACGGAGUAUCAAGCCAUCUAAAAUUACCUGUGUUAACCUUGAAGUUUUAACAAGUAAACGACCUGCAUACCCUGAGGGGCUCGAGUAGUAGAAAUAUUUAUAAGAUGCCACAGCUCGUCCUUUUUGUUGAAGUUUAAG